GGGGGGAGCGAGCGUUGUCCGGAAUUACUGGGCGUAAAGGGCGUGUAGGCGGUUUAAUAAGUCAGAUGUUAAAGCUCCCGGCUCAACCGGGGAACGUCAUUUGAGACUGUUAGGCUUGAGUGCGAGAGAGGGUAGUGGAAUUCCCAGUGUAGCGGUGAAAUGCGUAGAUAUUGGGAAGAACACCAGUAGCGAAGGCGGCUACCUGGCUCGCAACUGACGCUAAGGCGCGAAAGCGUGGGGAGCAAACAGGAUUAGAUACCCUGGUAGUCCACGCCGUAAACGAUGAACACUAGGUGUUGGUUUGCCGUAGGCUGAUCAGUGCCGCAGUUAACGCAUUAAGUGUUCCGCCUGGGGAGUACGAUCGCAAGGUUG
rnacentral:rRNA from 1 species